rnacentral:rRNA from 1 species
UACAGAGGGGGCUAGCGUUAUUCGGAAUUAUUGGGCGUAAAGGGCGCGUAGGCGGCCAUGCGUGUCUUCCGUGAAAUCCCUCGGCUUAACUGAGGACGUGCGGAAGAAACUGCAAGGCUCGAGUCCGGGGAGAGGGGGGUGGAAUUCCCAGUGUAGCGGUGAAAUGCGUAGAUAUUGGGAGGAACACCGGUGGCGAAGGCGGCCCCCUGGACCGGAACUGACGCUGAGA